rnacentral:SRP_RNA from 1 species
GCUGGGUGUGGUGGCUCACACCUGUAAUCCUAGCACUUUGGGAGGCAGAGGCAGGUGGAUCACCUGAGGUCAGGAGUUCAAGACCAGCCUGGCCAACAUGGUGAAACCCUGUCUCUA